rnacentral:rRNA from 1 species
GUAAGGACGCGUAGGCGGGAAGCCAAGUCUGAUGUGAAAUCCUAUGGCUAACCAUAGAACUGCAUUGGAAACUGGUUACCUAGAGUAUGGGAGGGGGAGAUGGAAUUAGUGGUGUAGGGGUAAAAUCCGUAGAUAUCACUAGGAAUACCGAAAGCGAAGGCGAUCUCCUGGAACAAUACUGACGCUAAGGCGUGAAAGCGUGGGGAGCAAACGGGAUUAGAUACCCCGGUAGUCCACGCCCUAAACGAUGUUCACUAGUCGUCGGAAUGCUAGUCAUUUCGGUGAUGCACUUAACAGAUUAAGUGAACCGCCUGGGGAGUACGGUCGCAAGAUUAAAACUCAAAGGAAUAGACGGGGACCCGCACAAGUGGUGGAGCAUGUGGUUUAAUUCGAAGAUACGCGAAGAACCUUACCUAGCCUUGACAUUGAAGAAACACUUUAGAGAUAGAGUGGUGCCCUUCGGGGAAUCUGAAAACAGGUGCUGCACGGCUGUCGUCAGCUCGUGUCGUGAGAUGUUGGGUUAAGUCCCGCAACGAGCGCAACCCUCGUCCUUAGUUGCCAGCAGGUUAAGCUGGGCACUUUAAGGAGACUGCCUUCGCAAGGAGGAGGAAGGUGAGGACGACGUCAAGUCAUCAUGGCCCUUAUGGCUAGGGCUACACACGUGCUACAAUGGGGCGUACAGAGAGUUGCGAUACCGCGAGGUGGAGCCAAUCUCAUAAAGCGUCUCUCAGUUCGGAUUGGAGUCUGCAACUCGACUCCAUGAAGCUGGAAUCACUAGUAAUCGUAGAUCAGCAAUGCUACGGUGAAUACGUU